CUUUCACACGGCCAUUUUGGGCUCCUUAUGCCACUUGAACAAACAAGGAAAAAAGAAAUUACUCUACUUGUUGGAGUUACUGAUCCAGAAUACCAAGAGGAAAUUGAGUUACUGCUGCACAGCAAGGACAAAGGAGAUUUUGUUUGGAACACAGUGGACUCUUCGGAGUGCCUCUUUAUACUUCCAUAUUCAAUUUAAAAAAAAGUUAAUGAAAACUACAGCAACAAAAAAAAAGGGCAGGUUAAUUGACAACUUAGAUCCCUUGGAAAUUAACAUUUCGGUCACUCCACCAGGUAACAGAACAUUCAAUGGGACUACAGUGAAAUUUGGGAGUCAUUGACAUAGCCAGCAAUGGAUACAAUGACUGUUGGAACUAUAUACAUCUCCUUACUGUUGGGAAAAGUGAGAAUUCCUCACCAGCAAGAAGGAUAGUUGUAUCUUAUAAGGGUGGAAAUACAGAGUUAUUUACUUGUUGUAUGAAAGUUGAAAUGUGUGUAAAAGGGUGUAUGGAAUCUGAGUUGUCAAAAGAAUAAACAAUGACAUUAAUUUAUUGCUUAUCUCAUAAUCGAUUAUGCAUUAUCUCCUGUGUAAUAAUGGAGCCAGUCCUCCAGAUAUUUCUCCUUCACAGUGAGCAUUAUGAUAUAAGCUUUAUCAGUAGAGGGUGUGGAGGGAUAUUGCUUCUGGGGUGCUGCUGUGUUGUAGUCUU
rnacentral:lncRNA from 10 species